rnacentral:rRNA from 1 species
UACAGAGGUCUCAAGCGUUGUUCGGAUUCAUUGGGCGUAAAGGGUGCGUAGGUGGCGGGGCAAGUCUGGUGUGAAAUCCCGGGGCUCAACCCCGGAACUGCACUGGAUACUGCUUUGCUAGAGUACUGGAGAGGGAACUGGAAUUUACGGUGUAGCAGUGAAAUGCGUAGAUAUCGUAAGGAAGACCAGUGGCGAAGGCGAGUUCCUGGACAAUACCUGACACUGAGGCACGAAAGCUAGGGGAGCAAACAGG